CCUACGGGUGGCAGCAGUGAGGAAUAUUGGUCAAUGGGCGGGAGCCUGAACCAGCCAAGCCGCGUGAGGGAAGAAGGUACAGCGUAUCGUAAACCUCUUUUGUCAGGGAACAAAGGCGCGGACUAGUCCCCGGAUGAGGGUACCCGGAGAAAAAGCAUCGGCUAACUCCGUGCCAGCAGCCGCGGUAAUACGGAGGAUGCGAGCGUUAUCCGGAUUUAUUGGGUUUAAAGGGUGCGCAGGCGGCCGCUUAAGUCAGCGGUAAAAGCGCGGGGCUCAACCCCGUCGAGCCGUUGAAACUGGGGGGCUGGAGUGGGAGAGAAGUACGCGGAAUGCGUGGUGUAGCGGUGAAAUGCAUAGAUAUCGCGCAGAACCCCGAUUGCGAAGGCAGCGUACCGGCGCCAAACUGACGCUGAGGCACGAAGGCGUGGGUAUCGAACAGGAUUAGAUACCCGUGUAGUC
rnacentral:rRNA from 1 species